GACGAACGCUGGCGGCGUGCUUAACACAUGCAAGUCAUGGGGGCCCGGAACGCGCAAGCUUGGGGCGAACCGGCGAACGGGUGCGUAACACGUGAGCAACCUACCCAGGUGUGGGGGAGUAGCCGUCCCAACGGACGGGUAAUACCGCAUACGCUCGACACGAGGCAUUUCGAGUCGAGGAAACCUUCGGGGCGACCAUGAGGGGCUCGCGGCCUAUCAGCUAGUUGGCGAGGUAACGGCUCACCAAGGCUACGACGGGUAGCUGGUCUGAGAGGAUGACCAGCCACCAUUGGGACGUGAGAAACGGGACCCAGACUCCUACGGGAGGCAGCAGUGGGGAAUCUUGCGCAAUGGCCUAACGGCUGACGCAGCGACGCCGCGUGAGGGAUGACGCUCUUCGGAGUGUAAACCUC
rnacentral:rRNA from 1 species